rnacentral:rRNA from 1 species
UACGUAGGGUGCAAGCGUUGUCCGGAAUUAUUGGGCGUAAAGAGCUCGUAGGCGGUCUGUCGCGUCUGGUGUGAAAAUCCAGGGCUUAACCCUGGACCUGCAUCGGGUACGGGCAGACUAGAGUGCGGUAGGGGAGACUGGAAUUCCUGGUGUAGCGGUGAAAUGCGCAGAUAUCAGGAGGAACACCGAUGGCGAAGGCAGGUCUCUGGGCCGAUACUGACGCUGAGGAGCGAAAGCGUGGGGAGCAAACAGG